rnacentral:rRNA from 1 species
CCUACGGGUGGCAGCAGUGAGGAAUAUUGGUCAAUGGUCGAGAGACUGAACCAGCCAAGUCGCGUGAGGGAUGAAGGUACAGAGUAUCGUAAACCUCUUUUGUCAGGGAACAAAGGCGGGGACGCGUCCCCGGAUGAGUGUACCUGAAGAAAAAGCAUCGGGUAACUCCGUGCCAGCAGCCGCGGUAAUAAGGAGGAAGCGAGCGUUAACCGGAUUUAUUGGGUUUAAAGGGUGCGCAGGCGGUCUGUUCACUCAGCGGUCAAAGCCUGGGGCUCAACCCCGGCCCGCCGUUGAAACUGGCAGUCUUGAGUUGGAGAGAAGUAUGCGGAAUGCGCGGUGGAGCGGUGAAAUGCAUAGAUAUCGCGCAGAACUCCGAUUGCGAAGGCAGCAUGCCGGCUCCACACUGACGCUGAGGCACGAAAGCGUGGGUAUCGAACAGGAUUAGAUACCCUGGUAGUC